rnacentral:tRNA from 1 species
GGGGUUGUGGCUCAGUGGUUGAGCUCUCGCCUAGCACGCGUGAGGCCCUGGGUUCGAUCCUCAACACCACA